AUUGAACGCUGGCGGCAGGCCUAACACAUGCAAGUCGAGCGGAGCGGCGGACGGGUGAGUAAGGCCUAGGAAUGUGCCUGGUAGUGGGGGAUGAGGUCCGGAAACGGGCGCUAAUACAGAAUACUACCAGAUGAGACUAGGUCGGAUUGGCUAGUUGGUGGGGUAAAGGCCUACCAAGGCGACGAUCCGUAACUGGUCUGAGAGGAUGAACAGGCACACUGGAACUGAGACACGGUCCAGACUCCUACGGGAGGCAGCAGUGGGGAAUAUUGUACAAUGGGCGAAAGCCUGACGCAGCCAUGCCGCGUGUGUGAAGAAGGUCUUCGGAUUGUAAAGCACUUUAAGUUGGGAGGCGUUACCAACAGAAUAAGCACCGGCUAACUUCGUGCCAGCAGCCGCGGUAAUAC
rnacentral:rRNA from 1 species